rnacentral:rRNA from 1 species
AUGGCGAUUGACCUCACCGAGUUCUUGGUUUCCAUCGGCAAGACUGUGUGGAAUAUAAUCCGGCUUGACGGCACCACCCACCGUGGACGCAGCGUAGAGCUGUGGGUGGUGCUGACGACGGUGCUGCUGCUGGCCAACUUCGCCGUCGAUUCCUUCGGGGCCCGGUUCUUCCCCAAGUGGUUCAUGAAAGCCACCGGCGAGUUCUUCGUGAUACUCAAUGCCUCCUCUGUGACCUACACCCUCGGGCUCAUGGAGCCUUCCAUGAAGCAAGGCGGCGGAGCCCUGAGCAACUUCUUCCACGUCUGGGCCGUCCUCAUCGUCACCAUGCAGUACAGCGUCCAGGUCGGCCGGCCGAUCAAGGGAAAGGAGCUUACCUUGGUCGACCUGAUAUCGUCCGUGUGGGCAGCCAACCUCCUCCGGCGCUCCAGUGCGGGGCUGAAAAUCAGGCUUCCCCUCUGCUUGAUCUUGUCCCUCAACGUGCUGCGCAUCGUCCGCUACUACUUGGACUCCAUCCGGGCGGCUGACGCGACCGCCCACAACAUGAAGCUGGUGAGCGACUACAUGGCGUCCUCGCGGCACACAGCCGCCAAUGCCCGCCCUGACACCAUGGCCGGGUAUAGGUACUUGGUCCAUGGAGAAGAGGAACAUGAGAUGGAGAUCCUAAGGUCCAAGGACGCCACGCCUGGGAAGGAUUGGGUGCCACCCGAGGACCUCAUCACUCUGGAGACGGUGUGGACCCGCCCUCACACCGAGGACAAGCUUCUGGGCAAGAACUCCAACGACAGGCACAAGUACAAGGACGUUUGCCUCUCCUUCGCUCUGUACAAGAUGCUGCGCCGCCGCUUCUUCGGUUUCCCCAUACCGGAAGCCAACAACUGCGGCACGAGUGAGCUCGUCUUCAAGGGCAUCCUCGAGGAAACGGACGACUACGAGAGGGCGUUUCGCGUCACCGAGGUAGAGCUGUCCUUCCUCGGCGACUUCUCCUACGGCAAGCAUGCGGUCGUGUUCGCCGCCGGCUUCCCUGUCGUCCGGCUGCUGCUAUCUGUCCUCAUGAUAGUGUCCCUUGUAUACACGGUCUACGCUAUCCGCGACAUACCUAGCGCCGGCACAUAUGCCACCGCUGACGAGCAGCUCGCCAGGGUUACUCAUGGAGUGGGCGUCACCCGCUGGAUCAUCGCCAUCAUCACCUACAGAGAGCUCUGGGAGAUCCGUAUCUAUGUGUGGUCGCAGUGGACAAGGGUGGUGAUCAUCUGCCACUACGUUCGGCUGCUGCCACAGCAAGGGUGUAUCUCGAUGCUGAAGCGCUUGGUGAUGGAGAAGGCGGCGAGGUUCCUGUUCAGGCACGUCGGGAGGAGCUGUUGGAAUCAAGAGAUCCAACAGUACAACCUAAUUUUAGAAAGCGUGAAUUGGCGAGACGACGACAAGAUGAAGCUGCGGACCCGGGUGAAAAAUGUGAAGCUGCAGGCCGAGGUGAAGAAGGCGCUGCUUGGGUCACUGAAGGCCCUGGAUCCUACCCUGAAUCUUCAACAUGGUUCGUUGGGGUCCUACCUGCAGAGAGCCUUCCAGGGCGACCACUGCAUCGCCAUCGAGAGUAUCCAUGGCCAGGGCGAGACCCACAAGAUUCUUGUUUGGCUGCUUUGGCAUGUCGCCACCGGCCUCUGCCAGAUCAAACUGUUGGAGACACAUACAACAACCGGGCAGCCAAAGUCCGUGUACUGUGAUCCCGGCAGCGAGUUCGUCGGAGGGACACGGCGGCCCGAGGGCUACGUCACUGCGAUGAGCCUGUCCAACUACUGCGCGUAUCUGGUCUCGCGGGCGCUGGUGCCAGACAAUGGUCUCGUCGCCAAGAAGGUCUUUGACGCCGUGCGAUGCGAGGCCCGUGAAAAAUUGACCAGCCACGAGAAACCGAUGGAGGUCUACGACGCCCUCAUGGCGAGAGCGAAGUUGCCGUCGAUCCUCAACAUUGGCGCGGAGCUGUCGAAGGAGGUCCAGUCGGCGUACGGCGACCCACAGACCCUCUGGGCGCAGCUGGCCAAGUUCUGGGCUGGGUAUCUCCUGCACCUGUCGGCCAACACGAGGGCGGGUAAGCAUCAGAUCCAUCUCCAAGGGGGCGGAGCAGAGCUGGCCACGCACCUGUGGGCUUUACUAUCCCACGCCGGCUUCCUCGGCAACAUCGCUCACGGCCAUCAAAUGCUUGACCCAGAAGACCUAGGGGAGGCCUAA